GCUAGUCAGAUUCACUGGGGGGCUGAGUAUGCUCAACAUAUGUUACCAAGGCGCAUGUGCUCAGCCAGUCUAACAUAAUCAUGGGUUUUGUUGGCUUGCUGAAAUGCCUUGCUGUUUUCUAACUUCAACAGGUAACCUUCAUCAGCUAAUCAGACUGGAAAUAUUCACAAAAAUACACAAAAUCUAUAAGUAUCCGUUUUGGACUGGACGUUAACAGAUAACUAAAAGAAUGCUGAUGAGUGCAGUUAAAAGGUCUGCAUGCUUGUCAGAAGAUGUUACGCCUUCCUCAUAGUAUCCCUCACAAUUAUAGAGCAACAGAUAACUCAAAAGACCAAACACAAGCACAUUUCAGUAAUGGAGACGUGGAGACAUGGAGACAAAAAGCCAAAGCACCUUGAAGGCCUGGAUGUAAAAAUUUAAUUGCUGUUCACAAAUAGUUCCCUGGCUUUACACUUUUUACUGUGGGCAAAACUGACAGCUAUCCAGCACAAGAUCUGAUCACCAGUCAAAUUCCAGGAAAGCCAGCAAUCUUAUGGAGCACAGCCAGACAUUCAAAUCACACAGCUGUUUCCUCCAGCAAAAUUACCUGUGUUGUAUCUGACUCUUCGAAGAAACAAUACGAAACUGAAAAUAUUUUUUUUGCCCCUUGCUGGUGUGCCAAGUCCUUCGAGGAAAGAAUGAAUGAUGAGUCAUAGCCGGUGCCAGACAUUCAAGACCAUUGCCAGAAAUGCAAUGCAAAUGUAACUGCAAAGCAGUGGUAGGUGUACUGUUGACUGCAAAAGUAUUUUGCAUUUGUCACUUCUAAUGUGAGGCUGAAGAACAAAUAUAUAGCAGAACAAAAGAGUUUGAAAAUACAAAUACCCUGAAACCUGUAAGUUCAAAGCCACAGGGUAAACUGAAUCUACUUCAAUAAAUUACAUUUUUGGUAAUGUUUUGAACUGUAUACUUUUUUAAGCCAAAUUGACCAGUGCUCAGAGAUUUGUAGUGCUUGAUAUCUUUUCAAAGUACCACCCUUUUGUCCUCCAGCAAUACUGCUAAACCACUCUAGUUUCUCCUAAUGCUCCACCAUUUCUCAAACGCUCAAAUCUAACUUAGUUUUCACCUUCUUUCCUCUAAACAUGCAUGGAACACCUUCCCCUCCCACCUUCACCAACCCAAACUUGUGUUAGUACAUAGGUGGCACAGAACCUUUCCCAGCCCAGAAACUUCCUUGCUUAAAGUUUAACCAAGAAAAACUGCACAUCCUGCUAAAUGCAGUGAGGAGAUUAAAGUCUCUGAUUAACAUGCUAUGUGAAUCCACAUCUCCGUUGCUUGUGAGAGAAAGGAAGAGUCUGUGUCAACAACCUGACCUGUAAGUCUUCCAACUUAACCUAUUUUUAAGAAUUCUCUUGUCUCACCAAAGUAUGUAUAUAUUUGCCCUGAGUAUAUCAAAGUAAUAAACAACAUCUAUGACUCUAUUUAAGUACCAAGCUCACAAGCUAAAUAAAGAACUAAUAGAAAGUGAAGGACAAGUAAUUCAUACAAGUAGGUCUUGGGAAAAUGAUUAAAGUUCUGCAUUUUUCCAAUCCAUCCUCCCUCUGAAAUUCACAGUCAAGUUACAUGGGAAAUGAUACAAAGGUUGCCCAGGGUUUUCUGCUUAUGAGUGAAAAGUGAAAUUAAUCUUUGAUCCUCUGGCCAAAAGGGAUAUUGAUGUGAAAUCUCAAAAUUUACUAAGUCUUAGCUUGUCCGUGGAACUGGCUGAACCUUCUCACAGGCACAGAUGCCAGUACCUCAUGCUGCUUUCAGCUGGUCCACCUCAGAGAGAAGUUUAUUACUGUAGUCUUACAGUUUCAUUACUGAAUUCCUCAACAGUAAGCUCUUUUUCAGACUUUUCCUACUCAAUGAUCUUCAUUUAGUUUACCGCUAUUGUUUCCAGAAUUAUCCCUCUGCAAGGAAUAUAUUUUAUCAGUAAAGAAAAUCAAUCACUCAGUUACAGAAUAAUUGAUAUUAAUAUCCUGUACUUUUAAGAAUUUGUACUUUAUUCUUUUUCCAAGAUAAAAAAAAAAAAAAAAUGUAAGUAAAAACAAAAGAAUACUUGGGCUUAAUCUCACUGCUUCUGAACAUGGUGUCCUAACCAUCUUCUGUUCACCUUAUGUCCUGGCCUGUUGUCUCCCUUUAAUCCUGACCACAGGCACACUCAUCCAGUUGAACUUCACUCUGUGAAGAUUUUUUUUUUUCCCAAAGCCAAUCUGAUUUUCUCUAUCACCAGAGUCAGUGCUAUAUCUCUUACUGUACUUUUCUUUUUAAUAGAAACUUGGCUGCUGGCUGUGGAAAGCUUGAUGCAUUUAUAUGCAGAUGACAUUUCUAUUUUCACUGAAUGAUGAGGUUUCCUCUCUUCUUAAUUCCCUUUCUUCUUAAAUGGCAAAUGUGAUCAUCUGAUUUAAUGAGUGCCUUUUCUUCACAAGGCAUCAUUAAAAAAAGGGUGGCAUUGCCUUUGUGUUCCUUUUUCUACUCAAAAUUUCUUUAAAAAAAAAAAAAAAAAAAAAGAGUAGAAUUCGGGUAUAAAAGGUAUGUAGCUCCUAGACCUAAUCAUUGACAUUUGUAAUCCAGAUUCACAGGACCACUUAGAUGUUGUCUAAGUUUGAAUGUUCGUUGGUAUUUAAGACACUGGUCUCUAACUGGCCAAGUAACAAACUGUGAGUCAUCUGAACUCUCCAAACAGUAAAGCUCGGGUGUACAGAAAGCACCAGUCACUAAAUUUUAUCUAUAGUUUUUGGAAUACUGAGCAUAAAAAUCUUUCAAACAUUUUAUAUCUCUGAAUCAAUUGUAUAACUUCAUCUGCUAUCACUCCGCAGCAACAGCUUUCCUGAAUGUAAAAAAGACUAUUAAAAAAUGUUCUCACUCCCUCAAUUUUCUUCCUAUCUAAAAUGACUCAUUUUAACUUUUUCAAUUUUCUUACCAUCUUAAAAUUGAAUUAUUUUUAAAUAUAUAU